rnacentral:rRNA from 1 species
GCCAUGCAUGUGUUAGUACAAGCUUGUAUCAAGCGAAACUGCGGAUGGCUCAUUAAAUCAGUCAUGGUUCCUUGGAACGAGUUGCCCUACAUGGAUAACUGUGGUAAUUCUAGAGCUAAUACAUGCUACCAAGCGCCGACCUCUUGGAAGGCGUGCUUUUAUUAGGAACAAAGACCAACCGGGCCUAGCCCGCUUCGUUGGUGAACUCUGGAUAACUUAGCAGAUCGCACGGUCAUCGCACCGGCGACAGAAACCAUCAAACGUCUGCCCUAUCAACUUUCGAUGGUACGUUAUGCGCCUACCAUGGUCGUAACGGGUAACGGAGAAUCAGGGUUCGAUUCCGGAGAGGGAGCCUGAGAAAUGGCUACCACAU